GAUGAACGCUGGCGGCGUGCUUAACACAUGCAAGUCGAACGAAGCACCUUAUUCUGAUUUCUUCGGAAUGAAAAAUUUGGUGACUGAGUGGCGGACGGGUGAGUAACGCGUGGGUAACCUGCCUCAUACAGGGGGAUAACAGUUAGAAAUGACUGCUAAUACCGCAUAAGACCACAGCACCGCAUGGUGCAGGGGUAAAAACUCCGGUGGUAUGAGAUGGACCCGCUGCUGAUUAGGUAGUUGGUGGGGUAACGGCCUACCAAGCCGACGAUCAGUUGCCGGCCUGAGAGGGGGACCGGCCUCAUUGGGACUGAGACACGGCCCAAACUCCUACGGGAGGCGGCAGUGGGGAAUAUUGCACCAUGGGGGAAACCCUGAUGCAGCGACGCCGCGUGAGCGAUGAAGUAUUUCGGUAUGUAAAGCUCUAUCAGCAGGGAAGAAAAUGACGGUACCUGACUAAGAAGCACCGGCUAAAUACGUGCCAGCCGCCGCCGUAA
rnacentral:rRNA from 1 species